rnacentral:lncRNA from 10 species
GUGGAUUUUUAACUAUGCAGUGUCAGCACCCCAACACUACUCAAGGGUCAACUGUAAAGUAUUUUUUUAAUCCAAGAAUGAACAAUGUUUUCAAAGACAUAAUGCUAUUUAACACUUAACAUACUAUAGUGCAAACAUAACUUUUAUAUGCAAUAGGAAACCAAAAUAUUCAUGUGACUUGCUUUAUUGCAAUAUUCACUUUAUUGUGGUAGUCUGGAACUGAACCCACAGUAUUUCCAAGGUAUGCCAGUAGAGUAAAAUGUUAAUUACAGAAUCAAGUUGAUGGGUUCACCUAGGUAGUACGUGUUCACCGUACAAUUCUUUCAAUUUUUCUGUAUGUUUGGAAUUUUUCAUAAUAAAAUAUUAGGGAAAGAACCGAUGCACUAAAAAAUUCACCAACAUUAUGAUGACUGGUAAAAUCUAUUACACUUCUAAUGACCUUAUCAGUUCAACAAUAAAAGGACAAAAGUAAUUUGUUGCCUGACUCCGACUAAACCCUUGAAGGAAUAAAUAAGAAAAGGUCAUGCCAGACUAUCAUCAGGCCUAAUACAAUACCCAAGGAAUAUUGGUUUGUGAAGAAAGUAACCAGAGACCACUGGUUUGAGAUAAAUCACAAAACAGGACACUAAGACAUGAAGACAUGUGAAGAAAUCCAACUCACCUGAUUGACAACUUCAAAAUAGAUGCCAAGUGUAGAUGUAGGAUCUAGGCCACAGAUUUUCCACUGACUCGUGCCACCAACACCAAGCUCCUGGGGGUGGGAAGAGGAAUUUGAAAAACAAAACCAGAAAACCAUCCCUGUGGUUAAUUGCUAAUGAAAAGUACUGACUGAGUAGGGCAGGCUACUUAGAGUAUCUUCUUUUAGGAGAACAUUUAAGUUGAAAUAAAACCUUCUCCUGAAAAGAGAACAGAUGAAGGCUUAACAUUUACAUUUACACUUUAAAAUUAAGCUUUUUAUAUUAACAUUCUGACCAAUUUUUAUUACAUCAUAUAUACUAUACAUAUAUAUUAUUUAUGUUUAUUUAUUUUGAGAUGGUCUCUCACUCUGUUGCCCAGGCUGGAGUGCCGUGACACAAUCACAGCUCACUGCAGCCUCGACCUCCUGGGUUCAAGCAAUCCUCCCGCCUCAGCCUCCCAAAGUGUUGGGAUUACAGGUGUGACCCAUCGUUCCGGGUUUACACAUAUACUACGUGUGUGUGGGGGGGGGUGGGUGUGUCAGGGGGUGUCUCUACAUGGUAUAUAACGCUGAAAUCCACAAAGAAUCAAUCAAGUCAGACUCUUAAGAAAGACCCUUAAGGUGAAAUCACACAGCAGCUCUAAGGUGGAGAGCGGAGAGGGUGCACUCUGUUCUGUCAGUACUCCCUAAGCUAGAUAAUAAGAUAGAUGGAUUCACGGGGGUUCACCUUCCUUGUAGUGGCCUUUUCUAAAGGAAGCAGGUGUUUAUUAUCUGCUGGAAGGUGAAGAGCUGUGCUCAGGAAAAAGGCAAAGAAGUCAAAGGAGCAUUCAUGCCUCCCCUUCUUGCCUUGCUAACCCCAUUCUAAGCACCAGACCCAGGACGGCUCCUCUAGAGCUCCAAAAUAUCAUUUUCUCACUGAUACACAAAUUCCUUACUUAAACAUUUGCUCUUUAGAUGCCUUUAUUGGAGAAACGAUAAAGACAAUUAGGAAAUGACCAUUUUAUAAUCCCCAAAGAAAUAAACUGAUUUGCAUGAAGAUCAAUGGAUGCUAAAAACCAUUAGGCUGUUGGCAAACAAGAGUUUCAUAUUGUGCUACACACUCUCAUUCAAAAGAUUGCCUGCUAAUGGCAAAGGGGGAAGUGUUCCCUUACAGUAGAAAGGCAGUGGGGCAGUUACCACCAUCACCAAGCGAUCUAACUCAGCACAUGUAACACGGGACAGCAGACAUAGUGCCUCUGGAUGUGACACAAGCAUAAAGUACACACUGCCCAGGAACAAUGCUUGGCAAAAAGGCUUUGCCUGAAUGUAAACACACCUUUAACCCAGACUCUCACUUUACAAAGGCUGUAAUAUCAAAUGCAAUGCCAGUUGGGGUAAAAACAGCUACAAAGGGCAUUUGGGGGGAAAUUAGGAAAAAAAUAUGAACUAGAUAUUAGGAAAUUAUUAUUUUCUUAAGUUUGAUAAUGACAUCGUGGUAGGAGAACAUCGUUAUUUUUAGAAGAUGCAUACUGACGUGCUUAAGGACUGUCAUGAUAUCUGCAAAUUAUUUUCAAAGGUCGGCAAAAAAAAAGUUGAUAAAUCAAAUGUGGCAAAUAAAUGAAAAUCAGAUAAAGCAAAUGUGGCAAACAAGACAACAGAGCAAUUAUGGCAAAAUGUUAACAAUCAAUGACUAAAUGGUAGGUAUAGAAAUUCAUCACUCAGUAUGUCUGAAAAUUGUAUUUUCCUAUUCUUUGCAUCCUCAUUCCCCAAACAAAACUUUCAUGGCUGAAUUCUACUAGAAAUAUUAAUUAGUUUGUACUAAUUCAUAAAAAUACCUUCUUAAACUACUUCAAGAAGCCUUCAGCAGGCAGAUUUUAAGUCCAUGAAAAAUAUUUUAUAACAAGGCAGCCUUCCAAAGCCUUGCCAGGAAAUAGGGGUACAAGCCCCUUAGUACUCUGGGGGUAAUGAAUGACUCAUCAGAUGGGCUUUAGGGCAGCAAUCUGCCUCACUCAGAAGGCUACAGGAAUGUGCUCUCAAAUCACCUUGCCUCUGCCAAGCUCAACAAAAGUUUAAUUUAUGUGGUCACCCAAGAACGUUUGUUGCUGACAACAUGAAAGAAGACCCACACUUCCAGUGUGCCAGGCACUAACUGCUUCACCUGAACCAACUCAUUUAAACCUCCUAACAAUGCUGUAGAGUGGGCACUGUUAUUAUCCCCAUUUGCCAGAUAAGGAUACUGAAUCACAGAGCAAAUAAGUCCUUUGCUCGGGCCAGGUGCGGGGUGUAAACCUGCACCUUGGAUCCACAUCUGGCUCUAUGGUCUACCCUCCCAUUGAUGGUGACAAUGAGGGAAGAACAUGACUGUGUAACCCCAGCCCAGGACCACCUUAGAGAGGCCUUGCCAAACCGAAUGGUUUGCCUCCUAGCAAGUAAAGUAUAAUCAGAGGAAGUGGACAAUAAGCAAAGCCGCUCAUCUCAAAUGAUAACUAAAUUGUUCUCAAAAACUAUUACUAGAGAAAACAGAUGUCUGCACACACAGCAGUGUCACCCACUUCCACACCAACUCAUGGUGGUCUCUGUUGUAAAAGGCUUGUUAUUAGCUGAGUGAGACAAACGUAUCACCUCUAAGGGCAAUGAGCAAUAGGCUUACUCUGGAAGGACUGUGCUGAAUGUUUGCCUUGUGCUGAACAGCAUGCCGUGGCUUUGGCACAACGACCAUGGGUGGUGGAGUCAGGGGCACCUGGGCUCUAACUCCUUCAUGUCAGUUCUGACCCUGAGCAAGAUACUGAACCUUUCUGGGCCUCAGUUUCCUUCUCUCUAACCCUUUGGAUGAACAGAUGGAAUAACACCACCUCUCCGAGUAUAGUCAUCAGUGAGGGUUAGCCCUUCUCCUGUCACUGCAGACACAUCCAACAGGUGACACAUGUGAGAUCAUCAUGCUCUGACACUUCUGACGGGUUAAAUCCGGGGCAGGAGGUGAGGGUGAUGGAGUUGUUUUCCUUACAUUUUCUGACACACACGGUCCUUUCACAUUCAGAGAUACGCAUGGACCAAUGGCUCCUGCAAUCUUCAGUUCCCGAGAGGUCUAUAACAAAUAUGUGACAGUGUAAAGUUAAAGAUCACUUCAAUCCACCCUGCUGUCAUCAUGGCCACAAUGAAAGCUUAGAGGGAAAAUAUAACACUACUAUUCUGCCAAGAGAAAACUCCACAGGGAUCAUAACUGCUUAGUCCUACAAACUUUUCCUCAGCCACUGUGAUUAGAACUUUAAUAAAAUCCACCCUUAGAAACACUUGAAACAUGAGCAUUUUCAACUCUCACAACUUACUUUUUAAACUUGGAAAUUACUGUACAUGUAGAUAACAAUUCUAACAAUACUACAUUCUUUUCCAAUCCCUUGUAUGAAUAUAUUCACAUUCAUGUAUAUCCAUAAUUAUUUGCAUAUACCUAAUCAGAGAACAUACUGUUUUGUGUUGCUUUAAAAAUACUUAAUUCAUGAACUCCAAUAUAACGACAAGGCCAACAUACUUAGAUUUUUAAAAUGUGAAUUCAUUUCAAAAGUCCAUCUUUAAAAGAAAACCCUCAAGCAUUUAAGAUUAUGGUUUAAAGUCUAACCUAGAUGAUUUAAUAAUUAUCUCUAAUUCUCCAAGUAAUAAUUCCAAUCGUAUCUUCUAAUGACGGCCCCUGACCUGCCCCGCCAACUGGCAACUCUGUUGCCCAGGCUGAGUGCAGUGGC